UGUCAGAAUAACAAAACACGUGAAACGUUAAUUUGUUCCGUUUCUAAUUUAUGUAUAUAUUUUUUUAUAAUUAAAAAUUAGAAAGAAAUAAAGAAUGUCUUUUUCCUUCAUCGAGGAAAUUUUCUUGCAUAAGCUCCCGGACGUUGUAUCCGAAGAACUAGAAGAUCGCUGUGUACAUUAAGAAAACAGCACAAAAAGAAGAAUUUCAAAAAAUGUUGUGUUAUCUGGGAAGAAUAUCGUGUAAAUUUUAUGACAGAGCAAGGUUAAACUACCAGUAACAAGCACAAAUAAAACUAAUAUUUGUAUUUUAUGUAUAAUAUACCGGGUGAUAAAAAAGUUAGUAUAAA